GCCCGCCUAGCUCAAUCGGAUAGAGCGUCAGACUCUUACGAUGCCAGGCACCGAGGCGAUCUGAAGGCUGCGAGUUCGACCCUCGCGGUGGGCU